rnacentral:ncRNA from 2 species
GAAUACCUUGGCGAUGGGGUUCCGCCAUAACCGCCGGGAGAAUGCCGCAAGGUCUGCCUCCCGCGCUGAUGACUCCUACCGAUUG